CCCGCUUCAAAUUGUCUUUUGGAAGGAAGACUAACCGCUUCUCUUUAUUAUAUGUUGUUUGAUUGGAAGUUGGCUUGAAACUUUACUUUUCCUUAUAUAAGGGGGUUUGAGUGUUUGACCUACUAAAAACUCCUAGGAUUUAUUGGAUACUGUCAAGAUCAAAUCUUGGGGAUAAGACUAAGUCUUCUUGACUAAACCUGCAUAAAUUUCGGGUGCCAUUUCUUUUUCCCUUAACUUUUU
rnacentral:lncRNA from 1 species